CUCACCUAUUGAAGUACUCUGGAGAAUGGAUGUCUCCCAUCCAUGUGACCACACAUACAUCAUCCAGAAAGCAGAGUAGAUCUGGCCCUGCUAGCAUGGGCACAGGACAGCCGACCCUGAGAACAUGAGAACUGGAGAGUUGCCUCUGCCGGCUGUAGCAUUUGGUAACGUAGUUAGGCCAGUGCUGGUGAGAACACUCUGGUGGUGUGGGUGUGUGAGAGCUGGCAGGCCGACAGUUUAGAUGCUUCUCAGGCCUAGAUCCAGGGUUCUGAACUGGCCCAUGCCAACAUUUACCCCAUUUAGAAACUGCUGGAGCAUGUGAAAGGGUCAGUCCCACAGAUCAAAAGCUGCGGGAUCUCCAUGAGAUAUCCAAGAGGAGCCCUGGUGACUCCUGACUGCCACUCUGCACCCCACUUAGCAGCUCGCCCCAAUUGUUCAUGCUCGGGGCUGCAGCCAAUCUCUCCACUCCUUUAGCAUACCAGGAUGUCUUCCUCUAGCCUUCAUACCUGCCAUUCUUUGUGUGUGAGAUGCAGUUGUCUGUUGGUAACACCAGGGGUGCCCUCCUCAGCUUCAGAUCUCACUGAAGUGUCAUAGGACCAAAGGGCUUUACGUCCCCUCUGUUCUGCAGAGAGGUUCUACAGAUUGACAUUCACGAUGAGAGAAAGCGUGCGCUGUUUCUCUGAUCUGACCGUCUCCAGCUGUGUCUACUUUCAGGACCAUCUCACUGUGUUUCAUCCUGGCUGAGAUAAGUGUACAAACAGCACCACCCUUGUAGAGUUGUGAGGAUCCUGUUUGCACUAACAUUGAUAUAAAUAUAAACAUCUUGGCACAGUGCA